UACGAACGAAGCAUGCAGAGUUCAUAUCAAGACGAAGAAGGGAUCAAGCAUCAAACCGUUGUAGUCAUCUUAACUAGCGCUAGGAUGAAUGGAAACAUCACAUUCAGUACUAAGAGAAUCAAGUCUUGGUUCGGGGAGUACGUCGCAGACUGAACCUAAAGAAAUGACGAAGGCACCACCAGGAGGGAGCUGCGGCUAAUUGACUCAACACGGAAGCUUACCAGUCCAGACAUAGUCACGCAUGACAGAUGAUAGCUCUUCAUGAUGCGUAUGAGGUGGUGGUGCAUGCCGUCUUAGUGGUGGAGGUGAUUGUCUGUUCUGUUCGUCUUGUCUUCCUGCUAAUUAGAUCCUUUAUCUAUAGUCGGCAUCUCUUAGAGGGACUAUGUAAAACAAAUACAUGGAAGUUUGAGGCAAUAACAGGUCAGUGAUGCCCUUAUAUGUCCUGGGGUGCGCGCGUGCUACACUGAUGUAUACAACAAGUGCCUAGUCAGACAUGGCAUGGCAAUCUCGAAUAUGCAUCGUGAUGGGGAUAGAUCUUUGCAAUUAUAGAUCUUGAACGAGGAAUUCCUAGUAAGUGCAAGUCAUCAUCUUGCGAUUGAUUAUGUCCCUGCCCUUUGUACACACCGCCCGUCGCUCCUACCGAUACCGGGGGGGCGAAGAAAAACCUUUUGGACCUGCAAGGGGAAGAUAAGUAAACCAUAUCACCUAGAGGAAGGAGAAGUCGUAACAAGGUUCCUUUUACCUGCAGAAGGACAAACGGA
rnacentral:rRNA from 1 species